rnacentral:rRNA from 1 species
AUUGAACGCUGGCGGCAUGCCUUACACAUGCAAGUCGAACGGCAGCACGGGAGCAAUCCUGGUGGCGAGUGGCGAACGGGUGAGUAAUAUAUCGGAACGUGCCCAGUCGUGGGGGAUAACGUAGCGAAAGCUACGCUAAUACCGCAUACGAUCUACGGAUGAAAGCGGGGGAUCGCAAGACCUCGCGCGAUUGGAGCGGCCGAUAUCAGAUUAGCUAGUUGGUGGGGUAAAAGCUCACCAAGGCGACGAUCUGUAGCUGGUCUGAGAGGACGACCAGCCACACUGGAACUGAGACACGGUCCAGACUCCUACGGGAGGCAGCAGUGGGGAAUUUUGGACAAUGGGCGCAAGCCUGAUCCAGCAAUGCCGCGUGCAGGAUGAAGGCCUUCGGGUUGUAAACUGCUUUUGUACGGAACGAAACGGUGAGCUCUAAUAAAGCUUGCUAAUGACGUACCGUAAGAAUAAGCACCGGCUAACU